rnacentral:rRNA from 1 species
AACAAACGCUGGCGGCGUGCUUAACACAUGCAAGUCGCACGAGAAAUCUUGAGCAAUCGAGAGAGUAAAGUGGCGCACGGGUGAGUAGCGCGUGGGUAACCUACCCUUGGGUUGGGGAUAACUCCUCGAAAGGGGUGCUAAUACCGAGUAAUAUUUCAGUGUCUUCGGAGACUGAAAUCAAAGGAGGCCUCUGCAUGCAAGCUUCCGCCCAGGGAUGGGCCCGCGUACCAUUAGCUAGUUGGUAGGGUAACGGCCUACCAAGGCUACGAUGGUUAGCUGGUCUGAGAGGAUGGCCAGCCACACUGGAACUGAGACACGGUCCAGACUCCUACGGGUGGCUG